GAUGUGAGGCAAGGGAGCAAUGAACAAAUCUCACCAUUGUGAGAUCUGAAAUUCAGAACGGUGGCAUAGGCCAGAGUAGGACAUUGUGAAAAAGAAACAAUUAGAGAAGCAGAAAGAGUGCUUGGAAAUGUCAAUUAUGCUGCUGAAUUAAAAAAAAAAAAAUCAGUAAAAGAUGGAAGUAAAUCUCCCUGAAAGUGGAAUGAAGACUGAAAGACAGAAAAUCAGAACACCCAAGAAACAUGCAGACUCAAUCCAAGGACAUCCAAUAUCCUGCUAUUGGAAGUUCCAGAAAGGGAGAUGAGAGGAAAUAGAGACUAAAGAAAGGGCCCACUGAGAACCUCUAGCAGAAAAGAGCAGCCACUGUGUCAUCAUGCCCUUCAGGAACAGCAGAGAUAAAGACAACAUUCUAGAAUCUUCUCAAAGAAGUAACAGGCGAUUUUCCAAACAUGGGCCUCUGAACAGAUCAGUCUUUGGUAGAGAAAAUUUAUGAAGAGAGAUGCCUUCAAAAUUGUGAAGGAAAAUAAAAUUCUAUACCUAGCCAAAGUAUCUAUCAAGGGUGAGGAUACAGUAAAGACAUUUUCAGAUACUCAAGAACUUAUAAAAUUUUUCCAAGUCACUGCAGGAAAAAAGUAUAGAAUUUGCUUUCUAUCCCUUUUCUUAGAAGGUUCUGGAGAAUGCACUCCAGCAAAACGUGGGAGGAAACCAGGGAAAAGGAAGGCACCAACAACAAGGAGGCAGAAGACCCUACACAGACAGAACAGGGAGGUCCAAGCCCAGCAGCUGGCUCAGGGCUACAGGCCUCCAGCCCAGGCAGCCCAGGCAGGAGCAGAGGACAGGAUACUCCUGAAGAGGCCACCCAGGAAGAGAAAAUAGGUGGGACUGGGAAGAAAAUCUGCAACGGAGCUUCCAAAACAGCGGAGGAUCUCCCUGAGGGAGGUGUUGUUAGAGAAGAGAGCAGAGAAGCAGGAGAACCCAGAAAGGAAAUAAAGUUACUUGAGGACGUGCUCUAGCAAAAUGAGAGGAAAAAACAAAGAAAGAGAAACACAAUUCAAGAACCAGGGAGACUCCAACACCAAAAACAAAAGGCCAAGAGAAUUUUCAACAUGAGUGAAAGAAGUUCUAGCAUUACAGCUGCUCAGCAUGCCUACAGUGCAAACAGUCCUGCUAAGACUCCAGGAAGAAAUCCCAGAAGAAAAAAAAAAUGAAGGUGAUAGACUGCCAGUAUUCUCAAUAGGAUGAAAGAAGUUUUACAAUUCUUACAGAAAGUUCAAGAAUGAAUUAGUGACAGAUGCAGUAAAAAACAAGCAAAACCUAAGGCCAUUUGUAACCCAAGGGAAAACAAGAAGAUGUAAUCAUAACAGACCACAGGACACAGCUAAAAACAGUGAUUACAUAGUGACAUAAAGAGUUAUAUACUGUUUGUGUAAAACGCAAACAGUAAGUA